AAACGCUUGAAGUCAGUCGCGUUGGCUGGGAAUCAACCUUGCUUGCAUGGUGUACUUCCUAGUUAACGGGUCAACAUCAGUCUUGACUGUUGGAGAAAAAUUAGGGGAAUGUGGCAUCUUCGGAUGUGUUAUAGCCUUUGACUGUAUACAACAGUUGGGACUGAGGAUCUCAGCACGCCGCAAGGCCGGGAUUUAUCCACGUUCGUGCUUAGGAUGUUGGCAUAAUGGCUUUAAUCGA
rnacentral:rRNA from 1 species